UACGUAGGUGGCAAGCGUUGUCCGGAAUUAUUGGGCGUAAAGCGCGCGCAGGCGGCCUUUUAAGUCUGAUGUGAAAGCCCACGGCUCAACCGUGGAAGGUCAUUGGAAACUGAAAGGCUUGAGUACAGAAGAGGAAAGCGGAAUUCCACGUGUAGCGGUGAAAUGCGUAGAGAUGUGGAGGAACACCAGUGGCGAAGGCGGCUUUCUGGUCUGUAACUGACGCUGAGGCGCGAAAGCGUGGGAGCAAACAGG
rnacentral:rRNA from 1 species